rnacentral:rRNA from 1 species
AUUGAACGCUGGCGGCAUGCCUUACGCAUGCAAGUCGAACGGCAGCGGACCUUCGGGUGCCGGCGAGUGGCGAACGGGUGAGUAAUGUAUCGGAACGUACCUUUCAGUGGGGGAUAACGUAGCGAAAGUUACGCUAAUACCGCAUAUUCGGUGAGCAGGAAAGCAGGGGAUCGCAAGACCUUGCGCCGCUUGAGCGGCCGAUAUCAGAUUAGCUAGUUGGGGAGGUAAAGGCUCACCAAGGCGACGAUCUGUAGCGGGUCUGAGAGGAUGAUCGGCCACACUGGAACUGAGACACGGUCCAGACUCCUACGGGAGGCAGCAGUGGGGAAUUUUGGACAAUGGGGGCAACCCUGAUCCAGCCAUGCCGCGUGAGUGAAGAAGGCCUUCGGGUUGUAAAGCUCUUUCGUCCGGGAAGAAAUCGCAUCAGCUAAUACCUGGUGUGGAUGACGGUACCGGAAUAAGAAGCACCGGCUAACUACGUGCCAGCCGCCGCAGUAAGAC